AUUGAACGCUGGCGGCAGGCCUAACACAUGCAAGUCGAGCGGGGUUUUCGGACCUAGCGGCGGACGGGUGAGUAAUGCGUAAGAAGCUGCCCGAUAGAGGGGGAUACCAGUUGGAAACGACUGUUAAUACCGCAUAAUGUCUACGGACCAAAGUGUGGGACCUUCGGACCACAUGCUAUCGGAUGCGCCUACGUGGGAUUAGCUAGUUGGUGAGGUAAUGGCUCACCAAGGCGACGAUCUCUAGCUGGUUUGAGAGGAUGAUCAGCCACACUGGAACUGAGACACGGUCCAGACUCCUACGGGAGGCAGCAGUGGGGAAUAUUGGACAAUGGGCGCAAGCCUGAUCCAGCCAUGCCGCGUGUGUGAAGAAGGCCUUCGGGUUGUAAAGCACUUUCAGCGAGGAGGAAGGGGUGUGUGUUAAUAGUACACACCUUUGACGUUACUCGCAGAAGAAGCACCGGCUAACUCUGUGCCAGCAGCCGCGGUAAGAC
rnacentral:rRNA from 1 species